rnacentral:rRNA from 1 species
AUUGAACGCUGGCGGCAGGCCUAACACAUGCAAGUAGAACGAGUGGCGGACGGGUGAGUAAUGUCUGGGAAACUGCCUGAUGGAGGGGGAUAACUCCUGGAAACGGUAGCUAAUACCGCAUACCAUCGGAUGUGCCCAGAUGGGAUUAGCUAGUAGGUGGGGUAAAGGCUCACCUAGUCGACGAACCCUAGCUGGUGUGAGAGGAUGACCAGCCACCCUGGAACUGAGACACUGUCCAUACUCCUACGGGAGGCAGCAUGUGGGAAUAUUGCACAAUGGGCGCAAGCCGGAUGCAGCCAUGCCGCGUGGAUGAAGAAGUCCUUCGGGUUUUAAAGUACUUUCAGCGGGGAGGCGUUACCCGCAGAAGAAGCACCGGCUAACUCCGUGCCAGCCGCCGCGGUAAUAC